rnacentral:rRNA from 1 species
UACGUAGGGGGCUAGCGUUGUCCGGAUUUAUUGGGCGUAAAGAGCGUGUAGGCGGCCAAGUAGGUCCGUUGUGAAAACUGGAGGCUUAACCUCCAGCUGUCGAUGGAAACCAUUUGGCUAGAGUCCGGAAGAGGAGAGUGGAAUUCCUGGUGUAGCGGUGAAAUGCGCAGAUAUCAGGAAGAACACCCGUGGCGAAGGCGGCUCUCUGGGACGGUACUGACGCUGAGGAGCGAAAGCGUGGGGAGCGAACAGG